rnacentral:rRNA from 1 species
UACGUAGGGUGCAAGCGUUGUCCGGAAUUAUUGGGCGUAAAGAGCUCGUAGGCGGUCUGUCGCGUCUGCUGUGAAAACUCAGGGCUUAACCCUGAGCUUGCAGUGGGUACGGGCAGACUAGAGUGCGGUAGGGGAGACUGGAAUUCCUGGUGUAGCGGUGAAAUGCGCAGAUAUCAGGAGGGAACACCGGUGGGCGAAGGCGGGUCUCUGGGCCGUAACUGACGCUGGAGGAGCGAAAAGCAUGGGGAGCGAACAGG